rnacentral:rRNA from 1 species
GACGAACGCUGGCGGCGUGCUUAACACAUGCAAGUCGAGCGGUAAGGCCCUUUCGGGGGUACACGAGCGGCGAACGGGUGAGUAACACGUGGGUGACCUGCCCUCAGCUCUGGGAUAAGCCCGGGAAACUGGGUCUAAUACUGGAUAUGACUCCACGGUGCAUGCCGUGGGGUAGAAAGCCUUGUGCGGCUGAGGAUGGGCCCGCGGCCUAUCAGCUUGUUGGUGGGGUGAGGCCUACCAAGGCGACGACGGGUAGCCGGCCUGAGAGGGCGACCGGCCACACUGGGACUGAGACACGGCCCAGACUCCUACGGGAGGCAGCAGUGGGGAAUCUUGCGCAAUGGGCGAAAGCCUGACGCAGCGACGCCGCGUGAGGGAUGACGGCC